UUAAAAUACAUUUAUACCAUUUUAGUUCAAACAUGAUCUUGCUAAUGGAAGAAGUGGAUCCAUUAGCACAAGCAAAACUCAAUAAGGACCCAAGAACCAUAAAUUCAAGCAAGUGGCAGUGAUGAAAAGAAGUUACACCUGACCAGACCCAGAAACCAUCUGUGGAAUGGGAAACUACAUCCUGGGCAUACCCUAACCAUGAAGUUUGGGAAAAGCUGAAUUAUCAGGCUUCAGAAACUUUCUGAUUGCUCAGUCCAAUGAGACUGAGGCAUGGAAUAUAUGUUUUACACUGCUUAUUUUGAACUUAUUUUGGUUUUGGAGA